GAUGAACGCUGGCGGCGUGCCUAAUACAUGCAAGUCGAGCGAACAGAUAAGGAGCUUGCUCCUUUGAAGUUAGCGGCGGACGGGUGAGUAACACGUGGGUAACCUACCUAUAAGACUGGGAUAACUUCGGGAAACCGGAGCUAAUACCGGAUAACAUUUAGAACCGCAUGGUUCUAAAGUGAAAGAUGGUUUUGCUAUCACUUAUAGAUGGACCCGCGCCGUAUUAGCUAGUUGGUAAGGUAACGGCUUACCAAGGCGACGAUACGUAGCCGACCUGAGAGGGUGAUCGACCACACUGGAACUGAGACACGGUCCAGACUCCUACGGGAGGCAGCAGUAGGGAAUCUUCCGCAAUGGGCGAAAGCCUGACGGAGCAACGCCGCGUGAGUGAUGAAGGGUUUCGGCUCGUAAAACUCUGUUAUUAGGGAAGAACAAAUGUGUAAGUAACUGUGCACAUCUUGACGGUACCUAAUCAGAAAGCCACGGCUAACUACGUG
rnacentral:rRNA from 1 species